rnacentral:lncRNA from 1 species
GCACAGACCCAGAACAGAAUGAAGUUGAUGGCAGACAACUAUGAUGAUGACCAUCACCAUUACCACCACCACCACCAUCACCACCACCAUCGAUCUCCUGGGAGGUCGCAACAUUCCAAUCACAGGCCCUCUCCGGACCAGGAUGACGAGGAGGGCAUAUGGGCAUAGCCGGGCCUGUAAACCAAAGUUCCAGUUUUGUUUUGAGGGCUAUUAGAAGGGCUGAAUAAAGGGAACAUGCAGCUCUGCAGCAAUAUUCUGAUAAUGUAUUGCAGUGCGGCUCACAUCACUGUCCACCACCACCUGGAGCGGCUCAUCAGAACUGAAGGGGAGUUUUCACUUACCUUAUUGAGCGUGAUUCUGUUCUACUUGAUAUUUCCUUCACCACCUCAUGUCAUUUCUCAUGGAUUUGGUUAUGAUGGAAAGGAAGAAUGCAGAGGAGGAGAAAAGUGACAGAUCCUCCAUUUUUGUUGGGAUGCGGGCAUUUUGAAUGUGAUCAUCUUUGCUGAAUGUCAUUAUUUGAUAACAUUUUGUUUAUGUUACUUAAACAUCAUUGGAUAAAUUUGAACUCCAUGGGAUUUUA